UAGGUGCACUGGGACAAGAGAGGCAAGCAACUUUCAAUGUGCCAAAUGCCAGAGGCAAAUUAUAAGUAAAGGUGAGGAUCCAAAAGCAAUGUCUUAUCAACAUUCUUCUUCUUCUUUCAUUGUAUACUUUUAGGACAGACUCUGCUGAAACAUUUUAAAUCUAUCAUCUAUGUGCAUCAAGACAUUUCUUCAAUAACAGUUUUCUUGAUGUGCCUUCUUCAGUAGCCAUGAUUCCACUGAAUUUCUGAAUCAGUGCAUGGCUUAACAUUCAGCAUCAUUAGCAUGACACUUUUUGCUUAUCUUAAUAGGUUGAAUAUAGAAAGAAGUGAAAUUAAAUAAAUAUUAAGAUGAUGUUUUCACCUUUCUCUUUCAACCCUCAUACCCAGUUUAAAACUUAUGGAAUCGAUCUUGCGGAUUUUGUUUUGAAUCUUAUCUCACAAGCCUUUAAAAUUGGACAAAGCUGUAUUGGAACUUUUGAAUGAAUUUUUGCUUGCUUGCUUGCUUGCUUGUUUGUUUGUUUUAAAAAAGAAUUGGCUUCCUUGCUUUUGUUACUGCUUGUUGGGAAUUAAAUAUUGCAGUCUAAUAAUAGUCAAUAAGGACACAAUGCAGGCUUCAACAGCAUAUCCAUCCUAUUGUGUAUGAAAUAAAUCACUUUUGUUUUCCUCUUCCCCUUGUAAUAAAUGUGAUGUUUUAUAACAAUUCAUUUUGAAAGCAACAGGUUUGCAGCUCAGUCUAAAGAUAAUUAAAAAAACAAAUGAACUUGGUUGAAUCAAAAUUAGUCCCAUUGACAUAAGUGAGAGUAAAUCGCAUUGACUUCCCCAGAACUUGCAUCCUUAUUCAAUAUAUCAUUGCAUCUGCCUACAGUGUCAAUAUAAUAUUGUCACAAUGCUGCUGUUGUUUGUUCACAGAAUGAUGGUGCAGCACCAAGCCACAAGUUUUGGCUUUAAAAUACGAUGAAACUCAAGUGUCUUGGUACAAGUUGUUGACUCAGGGCUAGUUUUGUUGGGUGCUAUACUUUCACAUCUGUUGCAUUCUGAGUGAUGGGCCCAGGAGACAAAACUUCUGUUCUUCAGAAAGAGUUCAACUGCUUUAAAAUAAGCUUGGACUAUGAAAAAGCACUAACAAUGUGCAAAUCUCAUUUGUUUAGUAACUUUAAUAGAUUCCCCAUCAUAAUACAUUGCUUUGACAAAGUAUAUAACAAAAUAGUGCCUUUAAUCAAACACUGGGCGCUGAAAGAAUUGGAUAGUGUUGGUUCAAAGAGUGGACAGGAAAAGAGGUUCUAUUAUUAUUAUUUAAUUCAAUUUGCCUAGUGGGAUCCCUACUGUUAGUCAAAACCCAGUAUGUGUCUAAGUACAUUGACUGUAGUCUUCCUCACAGAAAAAGUAGGCUUAGCAUUCGUAAAUUUUCUUCAGGGAGGUUUCUGAUCUAGACAAGCAUUUUGUUGGGGGAUUACACUGCAAUCUGUUCCCCAUCCCCUCCUCCCUCACUUGUAGCCUUUUCAACUUCUUCAAAGAACUGGAAGAAAGUGGAUUCUUUUAUUAAUGGCAGAAAACAAACCGACUGCUGGACUUCCGUGCCAGCACUCACAUAAUGCAGCAGGGUGGGAACUGUAACAAAGAAAUCCUGAAUGCACUAAAACAUAUAGUGAAACCCUAUUUAAAUUCACUGGUGGAGCUUAGAGUAUACAAUGAGAGGAAAGUUUAAAGUAGGAAUUAAACAGGGACAUAAAAGGAAAAUAUACUCCAUUUAAGGGAAGCAUUUCCUUUAAAAGGUCAGUUCAGGGGUUGGAUUUCAAAUAUCGACAGUUUCCCCUACCUGAAUGCAUUUUUCAAGAAACUAGAUGGUAGAUAUUUGAAUCAUAACUAGCUGGGUUAAUGUUCAUAUCAGCAUGUAUACUUCUGGAACUAGUUUGUGGCAAGGUGUUUCUCAUAUUCGAAAUCCUAGUGAGAGGUGCACAUAGGUGCAGUUUUAUGGUAUUAUUUGUCCAUCCUUCCUUCGUUCCUUCCUUCCUGGUUAGUUUUUUUCUCUCUUGCCUUUUGAAAGUUUCUUGAUGGAUGGCAAUUAUUUAUUAAUACAAGAUUAUAUAAAUGGAGAAUUGAGCAUUUCCCCCAGCAUAGUCAGAAUAGAAUCCUACAAUAAAUUAACACCAGCUUAUUACACUAGUAAACUAUUUGUAUCUGGCUUCUCCUCUUUGUUCUCUACUCAAAACAAUCACUCAUCCACACUACAAUGGAUUUUUCCAUUGGUGGUGGCAGGUCUUGCACCUCUUGUUUGUGGGAAGUUUUUAUUGCAAUGAAUGAAAAAGUGGCCAAAGAUUUCAAAUCGUGAUUUUAUGGAACGAAACAAGAAACCUUGAUGGAUUCUAGGUUUCAAGAUAGUUUGAGGGUAUGCCAUUCUUCCACUGCCACCUUCUGAACUGUGAAUCAGACACACAGAGAAGGUCCUCAGAUUGCAAGCAUAGAGUCCAGGUUGGCUCAUGUGAGACGAGGCAGGCCUUGAGGUAUGGGGGUCCUCAGCUGCAUAAAGCUUGAUAGGACAAAACCAGCAUUUUUAAUUGAGCCUGGAAACAAAUCGGUAGCCAGUGCAAUCAUUCCUUAAUUGGUGUUCCAUGCUUGAACGGUUCUGCCCCAGUCAACAAUCUGACCACCAAAUUCUGCACCAGCUGCAGUUUUUCAACUGAAUAUGAUAUCCAGUUUACUUAUAUGUGCUGUCAUUUUUAUCCAUUUUUCUUUCUGUUUGCACUUAUGUCAAAAUUUGUAGUGCAUCAACUGAACACAUAUAUUUCAACAUAAUUAACAUUAGCUGGUGUUUUCUUUUUCUUUUUAAUUGAGAGACCUGAAGCAAAAAAGAAACACGUAAAAACUUCCUGUGCACGAAGUAAGUCCCAUUGAGUUCACUGAGAUUUGUAGUAAACGUGCAUAGAUGAUUGUAUUUUUGCUUUGGCUUUCAAGGGUCAUUCACAGUCAACCUUUUUAUUGGUAUUUUAGAGGUGGCUUUGGUAAUUAUUGUAUUUUGUAUUGUUAAAUUAUAGAUUUGCUAUCCACCUUGGGUUCCCUUUGAGAGUAAAGAUGAGAUAUAAACCCACUGAAAUAAAUAAAUCUACAAAUCAGUUCAUUGUAAUGUAUUUUGUGCAGUUGCUAUAACUAAUGAAAUCCUAAACUUUCAGUUACUUUUUACAAUACUUUGAUUCAUUUUCAGUUAUUUAACAGUAAUCAGUUACCAUUCUGAACAUAUUAAAUAGAUGUAUACAUAUAGUGGAAGAGCUAAUAAUUUUCAUUCUUUUUUUGGUUCUUUUAAAAAUCCAAAUUAACAGAACAAUGAUUUAUAGAGAACAUCCUGGGGAAAACUCUGAAAUCAUAAUGUACUGGAGUUACAAAUACAGAGUAUGUUAAAGCAUAUUUUCUUCUCUCUUAUAAUAACUGUUAAUUCAACUAUUUCACAAUGAAAGGAUGUAAAAUAUUAACACAAAACUAGACUAAAACAUAUGGAGAAGAAGAAAAAUUAUUUUGCUCAGUCUUCACAGCUCAGCAUGGACAGGAUUAUUUUUGGGGUUGUUGUUUUUUAACAAAUGGAAUUCUAGCUCAAGAACUCAUAAGCAGAGUGUCCAAAAGCUGAGCCAACGGACUUCCGGGUUAGCGCCAUUGGUGAAUGGCGGAGUUCCUCCGACUGGAGGAACGGGCUCCGUGAAAACUGGGUCUUCCCGCCGCGGCGAAGGUGGGGACCCGCUAGAAACCCCAGGCGGAGGAAGCCUGGGAACGUGGGGUUCGGCAGGGCACCAGAAGCGCCCCCCUACUCGCGGGGAAUCCCAUCCAGGGGCUCCGGAGCGAAGUGGGGUGAGAAGCGCGGUGCUACAAACUGACUGCUAUUUUCACGGAGUGAAGCCGCACAGCCAUUGCCAGAGAGCGCUGACUUUUUCCUGUGGACAAUUGGACUUAAAACAAGUACCCAUGAGUAGAAAUGGAAAAUUGGAUCAAGAAAUUGUUUUAAUUUGGUAACGAAGCGGGAAGGUGUAAACAGGAAGUCCGCCUUCCGUUUCUUUGUAUAUAGACUAAAGCAAAAAUUUUGCAAGCUAAAGCCGGGAAGCUGUCAAAAAAGGACUAAAUUUCCUUCAUUUAGAACCACUGAAACCCCCCUUUGACAGAUAGCUAAUGAAGAGAAACAAGUUGAUUCUAAUGUUGCUUUUCGCAUCUUAAAGAAACAAAAUAUUUGAAAAACGUUUGAAAUAUCUGAAAAAUGAAAGUAACUUUCCUUUGUCUUUAAAAAAAAAAUGGCUACAAGUAGAUUGUCUCCUCUAGAGGGAGCUUGCUAAAUUGUUGUUGCAGCAUAUUCGAGACCCAACAUCUGUGAGAUUAAGACUGUGGGAACAGAUUUUUCCGACCUUGAAUAAAGAUGAGCUGGGAUAAAGACUGGUUGCUUGCUCUACGCAAGAUAAAUGCUUUGCUGGAGCAGAUGCAUGAAAAGAUGGACUUGAUGAAUGAGAAAAUGGAUUUGACUGUUGUGGUUAAUAACAUUGAUACAGAAAUCAUCCAAGAACCAACCUAUCAAUCUGUACCGACUGGGCAAGUGCAGUUGACAAUGGAUGAGGAUGUGGCUGCACCUCAAAUAGUACAAAUGGAGAGACCCGAGGCCCUACAGGAGCAUAAGCCACUGUUAUUGAAGAUUGAAGCUGGAGUGGGCCAAGGGGAGUCUGGAGAUGAGGAGACUUCUAGCUUUGGAGAGACUCUGAAAUUUGAUUUUAAACUCAUUUUGGAUUAUAUCGAGGACUGUGGGGAGUGGGACUGUGGGAAUGGGUGAGCUGGAUGAAGGGUGAUGGAGACAAUUUUGGGUUGGAAUCCCCCAGAGACCUACUCCUCAAUGAGAAAGGAAAGAAACUAAGACAGAGACCAACAAGAGACAAGGAAAAGGGCAAACACAAACAAGAUGAAGAAGAAUUGCAGAAGGGACAUGGAAGAGAUUUAAGGGCCUCGGACAUAAGGCUUCCAGGUUGAUGGACUAGACGGAAUGGACAAUAAGGACAAUAAGGACUGACAUGACCCAAGACCAGGAAGAAGAGACGCUGGAUGAUGACAAUAAGGACUGACAUGACCCAAGACCAGGAAGAAGAGACGCUGGAUGAUGAUUGGAAGAGAAUUUAUAAUGGAAACUUUUUUAUUUUAGAAUCAGCUAAUGAAUAUUAGGGAAAAUAUGGGAAUGAAACUAUACGACUCUAGCAGAAAUGAUAUUAGGAGCUAUGUAUAUCUGAAAUUUAAGAUUUAAGCUUUAAGGCACUUAGGGGUAAGAUAAGGUUAAAUAAAUUAAGGUAAUCUGAAUAAUAGAAUAUGGGGAAAGAUGGUAAGGAUUUGUUGAGUUAAUUAUUAGGUUAAAUUGUUAAGACAAAUUUCAUAACAAAAAUUGAGAAAGAUGGAAAGAAUUUGCUGAAAUAAUUACUAAACUAGAAUACAAAAACGGAGGUGUGAGGAGGUCAAUGAAACAAGCAAAUGGAAAUUAUGGAUAUGCAAUUUGGGAUUUGUGUUUCUUUUUUCUUUUUUCUUCUUUUUUUCUUUUUUUAUUGCUGUAUUGUUAUAUUGGUUUUCACAUUUUGUGCUUUUCUCUUUUUUUAUUGUCUUCUUUUUCUUUUUUUCUUUUUGUGUAUUGUAGUGUUGUUUACUAUUUUUUAUUUUUCUUGUAAUUUUG